UUGAGAUUCAUGGUCUGACGGUUUAGUUAGUCGAAUAUGCGGAUGCAGACAGUAAUGUCGGACAGAAAUAGGAACUGUAUUUUAGCCCACCUCACACUAACGUUACAUAUCGGAACAUAAGCAUAUCUGCAUUCACUUUGCCGACAGUGUUUAUUUAUCAAUCCCAGAAUUUGUUUCGGUAAAUAGCCUACAAUUUUUGAAGGGUUUUUUUUUAUAGACAGUUAACGCAUGCCAUCCCAACACAUUCCUUUGCUACGGCGGCCGCUACCACCAAAGAAGCUGCCUCCGCUUAAACCUCCUCUGUCUCAAUGCAUCUCUGCAUGCGCGCUACGCGCCACUAGCCCCGCCCUUCCUGCUCAACGACUUCCUGCUGCGGCUGGGACCCGGCCAAUCACAGGGCGGCUCCAGGAGGAGGCGGGUCUCUGUGUACCACUACAGGAAGCUGGUGGACCACUUCCUGUUGGACCUGCACAGCAGUGGACAGACGGAGGUGGCCAAUCAGAUUCUCUCCUCUGAGCAGAUCCCGCCUACCAAGUGCAGAGUGCCUCAGAGACAACUGCUGUGUGAGCUGGAGGCUUUGAUUCGUAUGGAGUAUCAGGUGCAGUCUCUGAGGAGUGUGUGUGAGUGUGACACGGGUUCCCAGUCCAAGCAGCUGUCUGUGGAGGAGUGGACACCA